UGCAGCCCCCGUCUAAGUGCCCUGGAACGGGCCGUCAUAGAGGGUGAGAAUCCCGUCUGGGACGGGGUGUCUGCGUCCGUGUGAAGCUCCUUCGACGAGUCGAGUUGUUUGGGAAUGCAGCUCUAAAUGGGUGGUAAAUUUCAUCUAAAGCUAAAUACUGGCCGGAGACCGAUAGCGCACAAGUAGAGUGAUCGAAAGAUGAAAAGCACUUUGAAAAGAGAGUUAAACAGCACGUGAAAUUGUUGAAAGGGAAGCGUUUGCGACCAGACUCGCCCGCGGGGUUCAGCCGGCAUUCGUGCCGGUGUACUUCCCCGUGGGCGGGCCAGCGUCGGUUUGGGCGGCCGGUCAAAGGCCCUCGGAAUGUAUCACCUCUCGGGGUGUCUUAUAGCCGAGGGUGCAAUGCGGCCUGCCUGGACCGAGGAACGCGCUUCGGCUCGGACGCUGGCGUAAUGGUCGUAAAUGACCCGUCUUGAAACACGGACCAAGGAGUCUAACAUCUACGCGAGUGUUCGGGUGUCAAACCCGUACGCGCAGUGAAAGCGAACGGAGGUGGGAGCCCCCUCGCGGGGCGCACCAUCGACCGAUCCUGAUGUCUUCGGAUGGAUUUGAGUACGAGCGUAGCUGUGGGGACCCGAAAGAUGGUGAACUAUGCCUGAAUAGGGCGAAGCCAGAGGAAACUCUGGUGGAGGCUCGCAGCGGUUCUGACGUGCAAAUCGAUCGUCAAAUUUGGGUAUAGGG
rnacentral:rRNA from 1 species